rnacentral:rRNA from 1 species
UGGGGAAUUUUGGACAAUGGGCGAAAGCCUGAUCCAGCAAUGCCGCGUGUGUGAAGAAGGCCUUCGGGUUGUAAAGCACUUUUGUCCGGAAAGAAAUCCUUGGCUCUAAUACAGUCGGGGGAUGACGGUACCGGAAGAAUAAGCACCGGCUAACUACGUGCCAGCAGCCGCGGUAAUACGUAGGGUGCAAGCGUUAAUCGGAAUUACUGGGCGUAAAGCGUGCGCAGGCGGUUUGCUAAGACCGAUGUGAAAUCCCCGGGCUCAACCUGGGAACUGCAUUGGUGACUGGCAGGCUAGAGUAUGGCAGAGGGGGGUAGAAUUCCACGUGUAGCAGUGAAAUGCGUAGAGAUGUGGAGGAAUACCGAUGGCGAAGGCAGCCCCCUGGGCCAAAUACUGACGCUCAUGCACGAAAGCGUGGGGAGCAAACAGGAUUAGAUACCCUGGUAGUCCACGCCCUAAAACGAUGUCAACUAGUUGUUGGGGAUUCAUUUCCUUAGUAACGUAGCUAACGCGUGAAGUUGACCGCCUGGGGAGUACGGUCGCAAGAUUAAAACUUAAAUGAAUUGACGGGGUCAUAGCUG